rnacentral:pre_miRNA from 1 species
AGGCAGAACGUUCGACGCACGGUGAAAAAGUGUGAUGGACGUACUUCUGGUGGACAUUACUUUUUCACCGUGCGUCGAUCGUUCUGCCU